ACAAUUUUAAAUUUAUUUUAAAGACUUAGGAUAACUAGACCAAGGGCCUUCAAAGCCUUAAGCAGAAGUUAUAAGAGGUACUGCCUGCCCAGUGACAUCUGUUCAACGGCCGCGGUAUUAUGACCGUGCAAAGGUAGCGUAAUCACUUGUCUUUUAAAUAAAGACCAGUAUGAAUGGCGAAACGAGAGCCAAACUGUCUCCCCUAACUAGUCAGUGAAAUUGAUUUUCCCGUGCAGAAGCGGGAAUACAAUUACAAGACGAGAAGACCCUAUGGAGCUUCAAGCAAUAACCAUGCAAACACUAUAAGCAACCCUUAGUAACGCUUUGGGUUGGGGCGACCACGGGGAAAAAUUUAACCCCCGAGAUGAAUAGCUGAGAAAAACACAUCAAAGCAACAAAAACCUUGACAUAUUGACCCAAUAUUUGACCAACGAACCAAGUUACCCUAGGGAUAACAGCGCAAUCUUCUCAUAGAGUCCUUAUCGACGAGAAGGUUUACGACCUCGAUGUUGGAUCAGGGCCCCCAAAUGGUGCAGCAGCUAUUAAAGGUUCGUUUGUUCAACGAUUAAAGCCCUACGUGAU
rnacentral:rRNA from 1 species